UUAAAACGAAAAAAAAUCUGUUGAAAGUUCACAAAUACAAAACGUUUUGUUUAUAGUGGUGCGCAAUAACGAUUGCAGAACGAAGCGAUAGCAGAAAAGUAAUAAAAUCUUUCACAAACAUCGUAAUAUGGAAUUGUGACAAAUCCAAACCGGCAUUCAUGUGCUUUAAAUAACAUUCUUUAAAUUAUGCGUGUGGCUGGUAUCUGUUUUAAAUAAUAAACCGUAUAAUUAACAGAGGCAUCCUCUAAGACUCGGUACCAUAAUGAGAUCGUUUACAUUUGAUUAUCCCACCCAUCUUAGGAGCAUGGUGGAAACCUUCGCAAAUAAAGCAUCUACACAGCCCCACAGCGGUGAUAGCUAUAUGGAAAUCGCGAAUCAACUUGUGUGGUUUCCUUUUGUUUCUUUAAAUACGACUAUGUCAUCAACAGUUGUUUCUAGUGAAUGUAGUAAGGAAUUUUGCGUCUUUCAGAAUAAUCCACUCAAGAGAUUGACGUUGAAUACUACUAUAAAUUCCGGGGUUUUUCAUCUGCAUGUUACGUAGGUUAAAUGGAGAAAGUUAACAAUAAGUAUUUCUACAGAUUUCCAAGACAAACUAAAGAGUUGCAUCUGAUGUGGAGUAGUCCUUGUAAGCUGUGAAGGCAGAGGGAGUUUUGGCUAGUGGAGUUUCAAAAGCAGACUUAAGACUCAGAUAAUCGAAAAAGUCCAAGAUUCAUAGGAAUGCUUUAACAGGGCUACCAGAACUUAAAACAAAGCUACAUCAUGGGAAAAAUGAAUGAAAACCGCUUAAAGCUUUGUACGAUAGCAGCAACAAGAGCUAGGUAAUGGACAUACAAAGACAAGGUAUUUGCUCUGUCCUUAUACAAGCAAAACCUUUGCCCAUACAGGUAUUUGUUAGUUCAUUUUUGCCUUCCUUCUGUGACUCAUAUGAAACCUCUGUUGUGUGUUCCACCUUCCAAGCCAGGAUUGAGUCCUGCAGUGAUGAAUGUAAUAAAAGCAGAAGCCAAAGCAGUGCACAACAAUGUUAAAUAUUUUGCUUUGUUCCUUGAUGAAGUGUCUUUGGAGACGCUUUGUUCCUUGAUGAAGUGUCUUUGGAGACAAUUUUUUAUUAUGAUGUGAAUAAGCAGCAAAUCAGUGGGUUUCACGAUAUAAGAAGGGCAAAUAUAUGUGCAGACCAUGAUGUGUUGGUAGUCUGGUCAGAGUCAUAUGCAAAAUUUGGAGGCAGGUAGCCGCAUCUCUCUUCACUCAGAGCUCAGUUUCAGAUGCAGUUCCCUCCGUGUCUAAGUAUCUACAUUACCUGGGAGAGAACAUCCUGCAGACGUAGAUUGUAGGGAAUGCCUGAGUAGGCAUACUCUGUUUACAACAGCGAUAACUUGAAGCAUAAGUAUUCAAAGUGAUUGUAAGACUGGCGCACUGAACUGCUGCAGAAACAAAGCGAUGUAUAGAUGUCAGAUGAUAAUCUUGUGUUCAUCAUCAAAAUGAAAGUUGUAACACACUCAGGAAAUGAGCACAGAAGAGCAGAUGUAGGAAUCAAGUGUCACUGCAUUCGGUGAGGUUGUAAUGGAGUUGGUUUGCGGUAGGAUGAAACCCAGUGCUGGUCCAUGGGCCUACUGUUCUCAAAAAGUACGUUGCGGCUGCUGAGCUUAACUCUAAAUCUGAAGAACAGAAAGUGUCACAUGCCUUCACAUCAUGAGACAGUGAAAGAAGGUACAAAUGUAAUCCAGGACAUUAGCGCAAAAUGUGAUCACGAACUUUACGCCAUCACCUCUCAUCCCUUUGUCACCCAAAUACUGGUAUUGAAAAUUUUCCACCACCAGGAUGACUUGCAUCCAAGUUGAGAGCCACCACACAGAACUUUGUUAGCAACCUUGGUUAUGGAGAUGGGGCCAUCUCACCACAAUCGUAGAAAUUUCAAAGCAAUAGGCCUACUGCUGUGUUAACAUUGCCAAGUUCUGUAAACAUUCUCCUGUUUGUUUUUACCCCAAAUGUCAUAUAAGAAUGGGAUCCAACACACUCUCUACAUCAUUUGUCCACUAAAUUCAAAUGGUCGGUGGAGGAAAGAUGUUUGUUUAUGUUCAUCCAUAAAUAAACAUUUAUUUGCACUCAAUGUCAUCAAGAUUAAAGCUGAUAACUGAAGAUCUAGCUGAAGCCUCUUCAGGCUUCUUAUACUUAAAUGCCAAUACAUAUAUUCCCUAACGGUAUUUGUGGACAACAGAAACUUUAAUGAACUCGGCAAUUCACAACCACAGUACUACAGGUAGAAAUAAUUUACUUCUCCUGCUUUAAAAGGGAGUUUUAUAUUCUGGUGCAAAAGAUUGUAACAGGUGGACUGUAGAAAAGAAACUAAACAUUCCCACCCAUCCAUAUAAACGGCAAGUUGACAUAUCCUGAGCAUGUGAAAUUGUUGAAAACAAGUGACCAGUCAGUGUGUAAAAAAGAGUCGAGCUAAGACACUAAAAGUAAGUUGUCAGUCAGUGUGUGAAAAUAAUCAAGCUGUAUACGGAAAAAAAAGAGGAAGUAUCCAGUCAAUGUGUGAAAGCAAACAAGCUACUGCAUGUUUGUUUUGCUUCACAAUUGCUAAAUAUGUAUGGGAAUUGGACAUACAUCCUAAUCUCCUUCUCCCCUACGUCUCUGUUUCCUCCUGUCGCCUACCAUCUCCUUCCCCCUCUCUCUGUCCAUCUCCUCCUCUGCCCUCUCUAUAUCCAUUUCUUCCCUCCCUGCCAAUGGCCAUCUCUUCUCUCCCCCUUCUCUCUCUGAGCUUGAGCCUUGCUUCUUAUUACAAUUUUAGUUUCCAUAGUAGUAUUCUAAUCAUAAACCAUAAAUACAAUGUUCCUGUUUCCUGUGAAAACAGAUUGCAAGGAAUAAAACAAAACAGUAUAGUUUUGUGUUUACAGUUUGCAUUUAAAAAAUAUAUAAUGAGGUAGAACAUAUAUGGAAGAAAUAAUUUGUCUAGCAGUUUAAGUGCCCAGCUAUCAUAAUUGAAACUGAUUGUGAGAAAGAAAACAAAACUAUACAUGUUCACAGCAGAGCAAGGCAAACAUUUUCGUUGGCACAGUCAGUUUUAACAGAAAACUGGUAGUUAGUCUUUAAAAGAAUAUAUGGCCUGUGUCUCUCUGAAUGUUUAUAAGGGUAUCAUGUAAAAAUUUGAAAUAAAUUGGUCAAGACCUUUUUGAGAUUUCUGCUAACAAUGUUUCCCAUUACCAUAUACAAUUAAAAAAAU